rnacentral:rRNA from 1 species
GGUCAAUAGCCUAACGGCUGAACCAGCAACUUGAAGGAACAAAAAAUCGAAGUCAUGCUCGGUUACCAUGUUAAUAGGAUGUGGGGCAUAAAAUGCUAAUAGUUCGAAGUAAAUUUUGAUAAUGACAUAAUUUGCUUUCAGGUCUUGACUAACUCGUGUGCCAGCAGUCGCGGUAAGACAUGGAAGGCUAGCGUUAUUCAUCUUUAUUAGGUUUAAAGGGUACUUAGACGGUAGAUUUUUGCUUUUAUCUACAAAGGUAAUUGUACUUAUUUACUAGAGUUUUAUGUAAGGAGGUUCCGAUGAGUGAGUGUAGGGAUAGAAUCCGUUGAUACCACUUUAAACUGGUUUAGGUGAAAGCAGGGUCUUAUGUAAAAACUGACGUUGAAGGACGAAGGCUCAACAAAAGAAACAGGAUUAGUUACCCCAGUACUAAGAGCAGACAAUGAUGAAUGCCAUAUGUAAGAAAAAUUUUAUGUAUAAAUGAAAGUGCAAGCAUUUCACCUCAAGAGUAAUAUGGCAACAUAUAAACUGAAAUCAUUAGGCCGUUUCUGGAACUCGUAGUGAAGUAUGUUAUUUAAUUUGAUAAUCCACAAAGAACCUUACCACAGUGUGUAUAGUUAUAUACAUAAGUAUAUUUCGGACAAGCGUUGCACGGCUGUCUACAGUUGAUAUCGUGAGAAAUGAUUCGCUUCAUAAAUCAACGGAAUCCCUGACUUUACUUAAAGUAAAGUACUAAUUUCGGCACAAGAACCCCUAUCCGAAUUUAAUACAUGGGAACAUGACAAGUCAUCAUGGCCAAACAUACAAAAUGACAGUACUGUGGGCAAUAGACGUGCCACAUUUAAUCUAGACAAAAAGAUGCAUAAU